CAGUGCCUGGUGCAUAGUAGGAUCUCAGUGAAGGUCUGUAGAAUGAAAACAAUAAUAUAACAGCCAUUGCAGAUCAAGUCCUGAUCACAUGCCAGGCACCUAGAAAGCCUUUCUUAGGCGUUAUCUCAUGUGAUCCUCCCAAUAACCCCAUGAGACAGUGAUCUUUAUUUUACAGAUGCUGAAACAGAGGUGCAGAGCCUUGUAGUAACUUCUCCCAUGCUACUGAUGAGUGGCAGAGGCAGGAGUGUGACUCCACACCUUGGAUUCCAGAGCACCACACUGUUCCCUGAGCUGACCGUGCAAGGCUUUGACCACCCAGCCUGGACCUUCAGCAGAUGGAAAGCUGUGCUUUAGGAUCCAUGGCAAAGCAAGGGUUAACGUACCUAAAAUAAGCUGCCCUGGAGGGCUCUUUGAAGACAGCAGGGUGUUAUUUAAUGAGGGAGCAUUUCCAGGAUCUGAAUUAUAGAAAUUAGCCAGCUGGGUUCAGGUCCAGUUACGAACUCAUGGCAAUUUCUUCAGGCUUGAAGAGAAUCAACAGCUUAACUAACAAGGAAAAACGGUGCCAUCGUAGCUCCGCACACCAGAUUCACCACAGAGGCAGGACUGACGGCAUCUUGAGUACAAUAAGAGGUCACCAGGAGACCACAUCUUUGUUCCUUUCUCCAAACUCAAGUGAGGAGUGCUGUUCUGAAGAACACAUCCCAACCAGUCUCCUGCACUCCAUCUCCCCCUCAGACUGCCUGCUGGGAAAUUCCUUAGAUGCUAAAUCAAAAUAUCCCCAAUGGAAGGACAGCAGAUUGGCAAAUUGGAAUAGAAUGGGAUCAUGACAUUCGUUUUAGAGCAUUGGUUUUUUCAAAAGUUCAG
rnacentral:lncRNA from 1 species